rnacentral:rRNA from 1 species
AUUGAACGCUGGCGGCAGGCCUAACACAUGCAAGUCGAACGAGUGGCGGACGGGUGAGUAAUGUCUGGGAAACUGCACGAUGGAGGGGGAUAACUACUGGAAACGGUAGCUAAUACCGCAUACCAUCGGAUGUGCCCAGAUGGGAUUAGCUAGUAGGUGGGGUAACGGCUCACCUAGGCGACGACCCCUAGCUGGUCUGAGAGGAUGACCAGCGACACUGGAACUGAGACAGGGUCCAGACUCCGACGGGAGGCAGCAGUGGGGAGAAUUGCACAAUGGGCGCAAGCCUGAUGCAGCCAUGCGGCGUGUAUGAAGAAGGCCUUCGGGUUGUAAAGUACUGUCAGAGAGGAGGCGUUAAGGGCAGGAGAAGGACCGGCUAACUCCGUGCCAGCAGCCGCGGUAAUUC